rnacentral:rRNA from 1 species
GACGAACGCUGGCGGCGUGCUUAACACAUGCAAGUCGAACGGUAAGGCCCUUCGGGGUACACGAGUGGCGAACGGGUGAGUAACACGUGGGUGAUCUGCCCUGCACUUCGGGAUAAGCCUGGGAAACUGGGUCUAAUACCGGAUAGGACCACUGCCUGCAUGGGUGGUGGUGGAAAGCUUUUGCGGUGUGGGAUGGGCCCGCGGCCUAUCAGCUUGUUGGUGGGGUGAUGGCCUACCAAGGCGACGACGGGUAGCCGGCCUGAGAGGGUGACCGGCCACACGGGGACUGAGAUACGGCCCAGACUGCUACGGGAGGCAGCAGUGGGGAAUAUUGCACAAUGGGCGCAAGCCUGAUGCAGCGACGCCGCGUGAGGGAUGACGGCCUUCGGGUUGUAAACCUCUUUCAGUAGGGACGAAGCGCAAGUGACGGUACCUACAGAAGAAGGACCGGCCAACUACGUGCCAGCCGCCGCAGUAA